rnacentral:rRNA from 1 species
AGAGUUUGAUCCUGGCUCAGAUUGAACGCUGGCGGCAGGCUUAACACAUGCAAGUCGAGCGGGGGAAGGUAGCUUGCUACUGGACCUAGCGGCGGACGGGUGAGUAAUGCUUAGGAAUCUGCCUAUUAGUGGGGGACAACAUCUCGAAAGGGAUGCUAAUACCGCAUACGUCCUACGGGAGAAAGCAGGGGAUCUUCGGACCUUGCGCUAAUAGAUGAGCCUAAGUCGGAUUAGCUAGUUGGUGGGGUAAAGGCCUACCAAGGCGACGAUCUGUAGCGGGUCUGAGAGGAUGAUCCGCCCACACUKGGACUKAGRMRCGGCCCAGRCUCCUACGGGAGGCAGCAGUKGGGAAUAUUGGACMAUGGGGGGAACCCUGAUCCAGCCAUGCCGCGUGUGUGAAGRAGGCCUUAUGGUUGUAAAGCACUUUAAGCGAGGGAGGAGGCUACUUUAGUUAAUACCUAGAGAAUAGUGGACGUUACUCGCAGAAUAAACACCGGCUAACUCUGUGCCAGCAGCCGCGGUAAUACAGAGGGUGCGAGCGUUAAUCGGAUUUACUGGGCGUGAAGCGUGCGUAGGCGGCUUAUUAAGUCGGAUGUGAAAUCCCCGAGCUUAACUUGGGAAUUGCAUUCGAUACUGGUGAGCUAGAGUAUGGGAGAGGAUGGUAGAAUUCCAGGUGUAGCGGUGAAAUGCGUAGAGAUCUGGAGGAAUACCGAUGGCGAAGGCAGCCAUCUGGCCUAAUACUGACGCUGAGGUACGAAAGCAUGGGGAGCAAACAGGAUUAGAUACCCUGGUAGUCCAUGCCGUAAACGAUGUCUACUAGCCGUUGGGGCCUUUGAGGCUUUAGUGGCGCAGCUAACGCGAUAAGUAGACCGCCUGGGGAGUACGGUCGCAAGACUAAAACUCAAAUGAAUUGACGGGGGCCCGCACAAGCGGUGGAGCAUGUGGUUUAAUUCGAUGCAACGCGAAGAACCUUACCUGGCCUUGACAUACUAGAAACUUUCCAGAGAUGGAUUGGUGCCUUCGGGAAUCUAGAUACAGGUGCUGCAUGSCUGUCGUCAGCUCGUGUCGUGRRAUGKUGGGUUAAGUCCCGCAACGARCGCMACCMUUUUCCUUACUUGCCAGCAUUUCCGGAUKGGAACUUUAAGGAWWCUGCCAGUGWCAMACUGGAGRWAKGCGGGGACGACGUCAAGUCAUCAUGGCCCUUACGGCCAGGGCUACACACGUGCUACAAUGGUCGGUACAAAGGGUUGCUACACAGCGAUGUGAUGCUAAUCUCAAAAAGCCGAUCGUAGUCCGGAUUGGAGUCUGCAACUCGACUCCAUGAAGUCGGAAUCGCUAGUAAUCGCGGAUCAGAAUGCCGCGGUGAAUACGUUCCCGGGCCUUGUACACACCGCCCGUCACACCAUGGGAGUUUGUUGCACCAGAAGUAGCUAGCCUAACUGCAAAGAGGGCGGUUACCACGGUGUGGCCGAUGACUGGGGUGAAGUCGUAACAAGGUAGCC